UACGUAGGGUGCGAGCGUUAAUCGGAAUUACUGGGCGUAAAGCGUGCGCAGGCGGUUAUGUAAGACAGUUGUGAAAUCCCCGGGCUCAACCUGGGGAAUUGCAUCUGUGACUGCAUAGCUAGAGUACGGUAGAGGGGGAUGGAAUUCCGCGUGUAGCAGUGAAAUGCGUAGAUAUGCGGAGGAACACCGAUGGCGAAGGCAAUCCCCUGGGCCUGCACUGACGCUCAUGCACGAAAGCGUGGGGAGCAAACAGG
rnacentral:rRNA from 1 species